rnacentral:misc_RNA from 1 species
CCAAUAGCGUAUAUUAAAGUUGUUGCAGUUAAAAAGCUCGUAGUUGAAUUUCGGGAUUGGCGCAUCGGUCGUGCCUCACGGGGUAUGAACUGGUGCAGUCAAUUUCUCACCUUCUGGAGAACCGCGAUGUCCUUAAUUGGAUGCCGCGGGGAACCAGGACCUUUACUUUGAAAAAAUUAGAGUGUUUAAAGCAGGCAUUUUUGCUUGAAUACAUUAGCAUGGAAUAAUAAAAUAGGACGGCAUGGUUCUAUUUUGUUGGUUUCUAGGACCACCGUAAUGAUUAAUAGGGAUAGUUGGGGGCAUUAGUAUUCAAUUGUCAGAGGUGAAAUUCUUGGAUGUAUUGAAGACUAACUACUGCGAAAGCAUUUGCCAAGGAUGUUUUCAUUAAUCAAGAACGAAAGUUAGGGGAUCGAAGACGAUCAGAUACCGUCGUAGUCUUAACCAUAAACUAUGCCGACUAGGAAUCAGACGAUGUUAAUUUUUUAAUGACUCGUUUGGCACCUUACG